AGUCUCCCUCGGCAGGCUGGUCGGCCGGUUGCAGGCCGGUGGUAUCCCGCGUGGGUUCCAGUCCGGCGGUGGCCGC
rnacentral:tRNA from 1 species